UGGCUGAUGGGCAUUUCUUACAUAUAAAUUUAUGUGUGCACAUAUAAGUGUGCAUAUAUAUAUAAAAACAUAUAAUUAAAGAAUAAACCCAAGGUGGCUGAUCUGAGAAGGAAACCACCUUUCAAGAGGAGGAAAUUGCCCUUUUAAGAGGAGGAAAUUUGGAGAACAAGGUCUCAAUGUUGGGAAGACAUGCUUCAACCAGGGGGCGGGUGCUAGGUUUUAUGGAAGAAGAAGCUGAGCACUUCUGUAGAUAUGGUCAUUUCUGCCCCUCCCUGUACCCAGAAAGAGGCAAUGUCAACAGAGUAUUCCAGUAAGUCCUCUCCCUUAUAGAG